rnacentral:rRNA from 1 species
GACGAACGCUGGCGGCAUGCUUAACACAUGCAAGUCGAACGGCAGCAUGGAGAGCUUGCUCUCUGAUGGCGAGUGGCGGACGGGUGAGUAACACGUAGGAAUCUGCCUAUUAGUGGGGGAUAACUCGGGGAAACUCGAGCUAAUACCGCAUACGCUCUACGGAGGAAAGCGGGGGAUCUUCGGACCUCGCGCUAAUAGAUGAGCCUGCGUCCGAUUAGCUAGUUGGUAGGGUAAAGGCCUACCAAGGCGACGAUCGGUAGCUGGUCUGAGAGGACGAUCAGCCACACUGGAACUGAGACACGGUCCAGACUCCUACGGGAGGCAGCAGUGGGGAAUAUUGGACAAUGGGCGCAAGUCUGAUCCAGCAAUGCCGCGUGUGUGAAGAAGGCCUGCGGGUUGUAAAGCACUUUAAGCAGGGAAGAAGGCUCUGGAGUUAAUACCUUUGGAGAUUGACGUUACCUGCAGAAUAAGCACCGGCUAACUCCGUGCCAGCAGCCGCCGUAA